UUAUCAGGGGAGGACAGGUGGUGCAUGGUUGUCGUCAGCUCGUGUCGUGAGAUGUUGGGUUAAAGUCCCGCAACGAGCGCAACCCUUAUUGCUAGUUACCAUCAGUUAAGUUGGGCACUCUAAUGAGACUGCCGGUGACAAGCCGGAGGAAGGUGGGGAUGACGUCAAGUCCUCAUGGCCCUUAUAGGUGGGGCUACACACGUCAUACAAUGGGCUGGUACAAAGGGUGCAACCCGCGAGGGGGAGCCAAUCCCAUAAAGCCAGUCGUAGUCCGGAUCGUAGUCUGCAACUCGACUACGUGAAGUCGGAAUCGCUAGUAAUCGUGGAUCAGAAUGUCACGGUGAAUACGUUCCCGGGUCUU
rnacentral:rRNA from 1 species